UGGGGAAUUUUGGACAAUGGGCGAAAGCCUGAUCCAGCAAUGCCGCGUGUGUGAAGAAGGCCUUCGGGUUGUAAAGCACUUUUGUCCGGAAAGAAAUCCUUGGCUCUAAUACAGUCGGGGGAUGACGGUACCGGAAGAAUAAGCACCGGCUAACUACGUGCCAGCAGCCGCGGUAAUACGUAGGGUGCAAGCGUUAAUCGGAAUUACUGGGCGUAAAGCGUGCGCAGGCGGUUUGCUAAGACCGAUGUGAAAUCCCCGGGCUCAACCUGGGAACUGCAUUCGUGACUGCAAGGCUAGAGUAUGGCAGAGGGGGGUAGAAUUCCACGUGUAGCAGUGAAAUGCGUAGAGAUGUGGAGGAAUACCGAUGGCGAAGGCAGCCCCCUGGGCCAAUACUGACGCUCAUGCACGAAAGCGUGGGGAGCAAACAGGAUUAGAUACCCUGGUAGUCCACGCCCUAAACGAUGUCAACUAGUUGUUGGGGAUUCAUUUCCUUAGUAACGUAGCUAACGCGUGAAGUUGACCGCCUGGGGAGUACGGUCGCAAGAUUAAAACUCAAAUGAAUUGACGGGGUCAUAGCUGUUUCCU
rnacentral:rRNA from 1 species